rnacentral:rRNA from 1 species
AAUGAACGCUGGCGGCAGGCCUAACACAUGCAAGUCGAACGGGUCCUUCGGGACUAGUGGCGGACGGGUGAGUAACGCGUGGGAACGUGCCCCUUGGUACGGAAUAGCCCCGGGAAACUGGGAGUAAUACCGUAUGUGGUCGAGAGACGAAAGAUUUAUCGCCAAGGGAUCGGCCCGCGUUGGAUUAGGUAGUUGGUGGGGUAAUGGCCUACCAAGCCGACGAUCCAUAGCUGGUUUGAGAGGAUGAUCAGCCACACUGGGACUGAGACACGGCCCAGACUCCUACGGGAGGCAGCAGUGGGGAAUCUUAGACAAUGGGGGAAACCCUGAUCUAGCCAUGCCGCGUGAUCGAUGAAGGCCUUAGGGUUGUAAAGAUCUUUCAGGUGGGAAGAUAAUGACUGUACCACCAGAAGAAGCCCCGGCUAACUCCGUGCCAGCCGCCGCGGUAA